UGCUAUACUAGUAAAGAGAGAGAGAGUGGAGAGAGAGAGGGGGGUAAAGGAGAUGUUGUCAGAGUGUGAUGUUGCUAUACUAGUAAAGAGAGAGAGAGUGGAGAGAGAGAGGGGGGUAAAGGAGAUGUUGUCAGAGUGUGAUGUUGCUAUACUAGUAAAGAGAGAGAGAGUGGAGAGAGAGAGAGUGGAGAGAGAGAGGGGGGUAAAGGAGAUGUUGUCAGAGUGUGAUGUUGCUGUACUAGUAAAGAGAGAGAGAGUGGAGAGAGAGAGGGGGAGAGAGAGGGGGGUAAAGGAGAUGUUGUCAGAGUGUGAUGUCGCUGUACUAGUAAAGAGAGAGAGAGUGGAGAGAGAGAGUGGAGAGAGAGGGGGGGUAAAGGAGAUGUUGUCAGAGUGUGAUGUUGCUGUACUAGUAAAGAGAGAGAGAGUGGAGAGAGAGAGGGGGGUAAAGGAGAUGUUGUCAGAGUGUGAUGUUGCUGUACUAGUAAAGAGAGAGAGAGUGGAGAGAGAGAGGGGGUAAAGGAGAUGUUGUCAGAGUGUGAUGUUGCUGUACUAGUAAAGAGAGAGAGAGUGGAGAGAGGGGGGGUAAAGGAGAUGUUGUCAGAGUGUGAUGUUGCUGUACUAGUAAAGAGAGAGAGAGUGGAGAGAGAGAGAGUGGAGAGAGAGGGGUAAAGGAGAUGUUGUCAGAGUGUGAUGUUGCUGUACUAGUAAAGAGAGAGAGAGUGGAGAGAGAGCGGGGGUAAAGGAGAUGUUGUCAGAGUGUGAUGUUGCUGUACUAGUAAAGAAAGAGAGAGUGGAGAGAGAGGGGGGUAAAGGAGAUGUUGUCAGAGUGUGAUGUCGCUGUACUAGUAAAGAGAGAGAGAGUGGAGAGAGAGAGAGUGGAGAGAGAGGGGGUAAAGGAGAUGUUGUCAGAGUGUGAUGUCGCUGUACUAGUAAAGAGAGAGAGAGUGGAGAGAGAGAGUGGAGAGAGAGGGGGGGUAAAGGAGAUGUUGUCAGAGUGUGAUGUUGCUGUACUAGUAAAGAGAGAGAGAGUGGAGAGAGAGAGGGGGGUAAAGGAGAUGUUGUCAGAGUGUGAUGUUGCUGUACUAGUAAAGAGAGAGAGAGUGGAGAGAGAGAGGGGGGGUAAAGGAGAUGUUGUCAGAGUGUGAUGUUGCUGUACUAGUAAAGAGAGAGAGAGUGGAGAGAGAGGGGGGUAAAGGAGAUGUUGUCAGAGUGUGAUGUUGCUGUACUAGUAAAGAGAGAGAGAGUGGAGAGAGAGAGGAGAGAGAGGGGUAAAGGAGAUGUUGUCAGAGUGUGAUGUUGCUGUACUAGUAAAGAGAGAGAGAGUGGAGAGAGAGCGGGGGUAAAGGAGAUGUUGUCAGAGUGUGAUGUUGCUGUACUAGUAAAGAAAAAGAGAGUGGAGAGAGAGAGAGUGGAGAGAGAGGGGGGUAAAGGAGAUGUUGUCAGAGUGUGAUGUUGCUGUACUAGUAAAGAGAGAGAGAGUGGAGAGAGAGUGGGGGUAAAGGAGAUGUUGUCAGAGUGUGAUGUUGCUGUACUAGUAAAGAGAGAGAGAGUGGAGAGAGAGAGUGGUAAAGGAGAUGUUGUCAGAGUGUGAUGUCGCUGUACUAGUAAAGAGAUACAUUAGCUAGCUCUUCCUCUUCCUUUCCGUUUAACAACAGUCAUAGCAUGAGGUCAUAGCAGCCAGCCGACCCGACCCAUUACUGACUCAUGACGUAGUGGGACUGUAACGCUGUUGCCGACUGUUUGGCCUAUUUAAGCAGGGCCGUAAUUUUAACAUCUCCCUCAUGGGCCCGUUUCAUCUCCCUGGGAGGAGCGCUAGCUGGCAUUUUCAUACCUUUUGUUAGCGGUGAAUGAUGUCAUAUCAUAGUUCUCAAUAAUGACAGAGCUCAAGAUUCAAGGGUUGAUCCUUACUGUAUGUCUGUGUGUAGUGGGGUCAGUAAUGAUAGAACAGGAGUUGAGGUCUGGGUUGUGUGUGUGUGUGUGUGUGUGUGUGUGUGUGUGUGUGUGUGUGUGUGUGUGUGUGUGUGUGUGUGUGUGUGUGUGUGUGUGUGUGUGUGUGUGUGUGUGUGUGUGUGUGUGUGUAAGUGUGUAAGUGCAUGCAUUGCUUUACCUUCAUGUAGAGUAUGACUGCGUCAGCAGAGAGGACCUUUAAGUAAGGUAAAUGUCUGAUGUUUGCAGGCAGAUGCGAAAGAGUCAGUUGUGACGUAACAGCUACUUCUCACUGUCCUGUGGUUUGAAGGAUGUGUGUGUGUGUGAAUAUGUGUGUUUGUAAAUACAUGAGUAGAUGUGUGCUGGUAGUUAACACCAUGCUGUUUGGGAAUGUAGUGAGGUAAACGAGUACGAGCAAUUGUCAGCCAGUCCAUAUGCUCAUUAAAGGUUGUGGCGUCAUUACUACCGCUUUUAUACAGACGUACAGUACAUUCGAUAAUGUAUAACACACAUUGAACAGUGGGGGGCACACACACACACACACACACAAACGCACACAGUAAGCUAGCUCAUCAGCAGUACGGCCUUCAGAUGGACACCUGUCACAGCGGUGCAUCGCCGGAGCAUUAACAGGCAGGAAUGACGAUGGGAGCCGAUGGUUCCCAGCCUCCCUCCUGGCCCCGGGCCCUGGACCCUGGCAUCUGCUGGGCUGGAGACAGGGUGUGAAGUUUCCCCCCUGAAGGUGAGACUUUUCCAGCUCCGCUUCCUGUCUGGGAGCCUGGUGCAUCAAGGACAGGAAGGGUCCUGCUGUGCUACGGCUCUUAUCAUCACACACAAACAUCUACGCUAAUCCUACAUUCAGCUAGGAGAGGAUUUUGUGAACAAGAUGUUUUUGUUGUUGUUGUGCGUAUGAUUGAUUGUUUGGGGGCAGUAACAGCAUUGCCUGUAAUUAUAGGCCUACAUCAUUACCAUACAUGCU
rnacentral:lncRNA from 1 species